rnacentral:rRNA from 1 species
UGGGGAAUAUUGCACAAUGGGCGCAAGCCUGAUGCAGCCAUGCCGCGUGUAUGAAGAAGGCCUUCGGGUUGUAAAGUACUUUCAGCGAGGAGGAAGGCGUUGUGGUUAAUAACCGCAACGAUUGACGUUACUCGCAGAAGAAGCACCGGCUAACUCCGUGCCAGCAGCCGCGGUAAUACGGAGGGUGCAAGCGUUAAUCGGAAUUACUGGGCGUAAAGCGCACGUAGGCGGUCUGUCAAGUCGGAUGUGAAAUCCCCGGGCUCAACCUGGGAACUGCAUCCGAAACUGGCAGGCUAGAGUCUUGUAGAGGGGGGUAGAAUUCCAGGUGUAGCGGUGAAAUGCGUAGAGAUCUGGAGGAAUACCGGUGGCGAAGGCGGCCCCCUGGACAAAGACUGACGCUCAGGUGCGAAAGCGUGGGGAGCAAACA